AUGCAUGAGUUAACUAAGGAAAACAUUGAGCGUAUGAAUGCUAAAUAUAAACUUGCUGGAGAUAAGGGUAGAAAACAUGUUGUGUUUGCACCUGGAGAUCUUGUUUGGUUACAUUUGCGUAAGGAUAGAUUUCCUGAUUUGCGCAAAUCAAAGUUAAUGCCACGUGCUGAUGGUCCCUUUAAGGUGUUAGAGAAAAUAAAUGAUAAUGCAUAUAAACUUGAGCUGCCUGCAGCUUUUGGGGUUAGUCCCACUUUUAACAUUGCAGAUUUGAAGCCUUAUUUGGGUGAGGAAGAUGAACUUCCGUCGAGGACGACUUCAUUUCAAGAAGGGGAGGAUGAUGAGGACAUCAAUACAAUUGUUACACCCACAGCCCCUGCUGCUAUACAUACUGGACCAAUUACUAGAGCUCGUGCACGCCAACUAAAUUACCAGGAAACAGACCCUCGUGGUCAGGUUGAUCGUGCUCCGGCGUGGUCAAUAACCUCUCGGAGUUGGUUUAGCGAUUGCUAA
rnacentral:rRNA from 1 species